GGUGCGUAGGCGGCCAAGUAAGCCAGAGGUGAAAGGCUACGGCUCAACCGUAGUAAGCCUUUGGAACUAUUUGGCUUGAGUGCAGGAGAGGAGAGUGGAAUUCCUAGUGUAGCGGUGAAAUGCGUAGAUAUUAGGAGGAACACCAGUGGCGAAGGCGACUCUCUGGACUGCAACUGACGCUGAUGCACGAAAGUGUGGGUAGCAAACAGGAUUAGAUACCCUGGUAGUCCACACCGUAAACGAUGAGUGCUAGGUGUCGGGGGUUCAUACCCUCGGUGCCGGAGUUAACGCAUUAAGCACUCCGCCUGGGGAGUACGAUCGCAAGAUUGAAACUCAAAGGAAUUGACGGGGACCCGCACAAGCAGCGGAGCAUGUGGUUUAAUUCGAAGCAACGCGAAGAACCUUACCAGGACUUGACAUCCCUGCGAUAGGUCCUUAACCGGACCCUUCUCUUUGAGACGCAGGUGACAGGUGGUGCAUGGUUGUCGUCAGCUCGUGUCGUGAGAUGUUGGGUUAAGUCCCGCAACGAGCGCAACCCUUGUCUUUAGUUGCCAUCAGGUUAAGCUGGGCACUCUAGAGAGACUGCCGGUGACAAACCGGAGGGAGGUGGGGAUGACGUCAAAUCAUCAUGCCCCUUAUGUCCUGGGCUACACACGUGCUACAAUGGCUGGUACAACGGGAAGCUAAAGAGUAAUCUGGAGCCAAUCCUAAAAAGCCAGUCUUAGUUCGGAUUGUGGGCUGCAACUCG
rnacentral:rRNA from 1 species